ACUCCUACGGGAGGCAGCAGUGAGGAAUAUUGGUCAAUGGGCGGAAGCCUGAACCAGCCAUCCCGCGUGCAGGAAGACGGCCCUAUGGGUUGUAAACUGCUUUUCCAGGGGGAGAAACUUUCCGAUGAAUCGGGAUUUGACGGUACCCUGGGAAUAAGCAUCGGCUAACUCCGUGCCAGCAGCCGCGGUAAUACGGAGGAUGCGAGCGUUAUCCGGAUUUAUUGGGUUUAAAGGGUGCGUAGGCGGAUCGAUAAGUCAGUGGUGAAAACCUGCAGCUUAACUGUAGACUUGCCGUUGAUACUGUCAGUCUUGAGUGUGGUCAAGGUAGGCGGAAUGUGUAAUGUAGCGGUGAAAUGCUUAGAUAUUACACAGAACACCGAUUGCGAAGGCAGCUUACUGGGCCAUUACUGACGCUGAUGCACGAAAGCGUGGGGAUCGAACAGGAUUAGAUACCCUGGUAGUC
rnacentral:rRNA from 1 species